ACACACCCAGAUUUUUAAUAAUGUUUUUUUCCAAGUAGAAUAUAAACAAAAACCAACUCUCUCUCUCUCUCUCUCACACACACACACACACAAACACACACAGUGUGAAAUUAGCAAAGAAUUAAAGGUGGGUUCUGGGUUACCUUUAAUUUCCUUUAUCUCAGUUAAAGUGAAUGGAAUUCUAGUGUUUUUUUUUGGUUCCAUGGUUAAAGCAGAGGUUUUAUAGCUGAAUCCCACCUCUUUGGUUUCUUCUUCCUCCUCCCCUCUCUCUCUCUCCUCCCACCCCCAUCACAUGAAGUUUGUCUAUGGUUCCCUCGUUGAGCCUUGAUUUUUGUUCAAAAAGAAUUCCGGGCUAAGGUUGAAUUUUGGUAAUAUAUAUGAAUCAAUAAUCUCUCCCGGUUCAUCUCGCUGAUUGUAAACUUCAUAUUUGCACUUGUUUAUGGUUCGACAUAUGUUUCAAGAUUCAUUGCCCCUUCAUGACCAUGCACAGUGCUGUAAACCUUCUCACUUUACUCAGAAUCUUUGUACAUAAGUGAAGAUCUUCUUGAUAUAUGCGAGCUGCUGCUCUCUAGAGAUAUAGAGUAGCUAGCUAGCUUUUGUAUAUGGGGAUGUACAAGAAGCUGGGGAUUCAGGUUCUUUAAAGUUGGAUAUAUAUAUAUAUAUAUAGAGAUAGAUAGAUAGAUACACGGUGGAGAAAAAGAGGAGCUGUUUGUUUAAUUUGAGCCAUGAAUAAGAGUAGUAGUCAGAUGGGGUUCGUCAGCAGUACUUCUGAUCUCAUCGAUGCGAAGCUUGAGGAGCAUCAACUAUGUGGAUCCAAACAGUGCCCUAGUUGUGGACAGAAGCUCGAGGGAAAACCGGAUUGGGUAGGGCUGCCGGCGGGAGUGAAGUUCGACCCGACGGACCAGGAGCUGAUAGAACAUCUUGCAGCAAAAGUAGAAGGAAAACAAUCAAAGUCGCAUCCUUUGAUAGAUGAGUUCAUUCCUACUAUUGAAGGUGAAGAUGGGAUUUGCUACACCCAUCCUGAAAAGCUUCCAGGAGUAACAAGAGAUGGAUUGAGCAGGCACUUCUUCCACAGGCCGUCUAAAGCGUACACCACCGGUACGAGAAAGAGGAGGAAAAUCCAGACGGAAUACUGUGAUAUGCAAGGGGGUGAAACGCGGUGGCACAAGACGGGCAAAACCAGGCCUGUGAUGGUGAAUGGCAAGCACAAGGGGUGCAAGAAAAUCCUGGUGUUGUACACGAACUUUGGGAAAAAUCGAAAGCCCGAGAAAACGAAUUGGGUUAUGCACCAAUACCAUUUAGGGCAGCAUGAGGAGGAGAAAGAGGGGGAGCUUGUGGUUUCCAAGAUCUUCUACCAGACUCAGCCCAGGCAAUGCAACUGGUCUGACAAGAACAGCAUCGGUGCUAAUCCUGUAGAGGGAGCUAGCGAUCCGAAAGGCCGGAUAGAGAGUGGAAGUGGGAGCUGUUCCUCAAAAGAAAUAAUCAUCCCUCAAAGAGAUGAUCAUCAUCAUCAUCAUCAUCAAUUCUCCACUGCUGUUGCUGCCAAUGCUGUUCCUCAUAUCUCAAGUUACGGCACUACCGCUAUCGAUAGUUUCAGCUUUCUCCCAUUCGGGAAAGCCUUUGGUGAUCAGUUGCAGGGUGGGAAUAUUGGGGAGGCUUCAGUUGCAAGGGAAGCACAGCAAGGGGCAGCAGGCACGUGCGAAGUGCGUGAAAUGGGACAGCAUCACGUGAGUAACAUCCCACAGCAUCACCACCGGAUUCCGGCAGCGGCAUUCCAUAUCAGCAGACCUUCGGAAUCCAUCUCGACUGUUGUCUCUCAGCCAGUACCCCUCCAUCACACCGGCUCCAUUAAUAUUCUUGAUGAUGAUCACUCCUUCCAUGUCCCAGGAAUCUUGCUCCCGGAUGAAAAUUUUCAGACAUUACAUGAUGAAAACGAUGAUUGUGUUCUUAUUGUUUUGUUUGCAAUGAACACUAUUUAUUAUCUUCGGACAGCAGCAGCAGCAGCAGCAGCAGGAACAGCAUCAUAAAAUUGGGGGAAGGUCUGCUUCUGGAUUGGAGGAACUCAUCAUGGGCUGCACCUCAACUGCCCCCAAACAAGAAUCAUCAUCCAUUACAAACCCACAUGAAGCAGAAUGGUUGAAGUACUCCACUUUCUGGGCAGACCCUGACAACCCGGAUCAUCAUGGAUAGUUGCAAAAGUCAUAUAAAUCGAAAAUUCUUACUCAAAUCAGGUUCGACGAACCAAUUAAUUGCAGAGCAGAUAUGAUACACUUGUCAUAUAAUUAAUCAUUUUUACUGAACGGUACAUCACAUCGCACGACAAGUGAAUUGCACUUACAAUAUAAUUAACUCGUCAACUAGUUCGACCAAACCCAAUAUGAAUUAGAGUGUCCCCCACAUCCAUAUAGUAUAAAAGAAGUAGAGGACUAGCUAUAUACGAAGCAAAAGGGACAAGUUCCCCACAGACAGUCAUAAUUUCCUUCAUCAUUGCUACCUACUUGAAGCCCUCCUCCUCCGGCUUGACUUCAUUCCGAAGAAUAAGGUGACAAGGGAGCAUGCAUGCAUAUAUAUACGUAUCAUUGUUGUCCGAUUUCCAUAUCUCUUGUCCGAAUUAUUGGCUGAGGUUGAGGAUCAGGUCCAGGUCCCAUAUUGUAAGGGUUAAACCGAAGUAAGUGUUGAGCAAAACCCAUGUUGGAAAAGCAAGCAAAGAAGCGUUGAAAAGCGGAAAAGAAAGGGAAAGUAGAGAGGCAAGAAAAGGCUGCUGCCUGCUUGUGCUUGCUUAGUCUGACAAACACGAGAAGGUCGGGGGACAAACACCCACAAAGCAUAAAACCAUCCUGCAUGAAAAUCGUCACCCUUGUCAUCAUUACUAUAUCAUCUUUAUAUACACACAUACAUAUA